CUCUGGCAGAUAUGCACAAUCUGGUCAUUCUGUUUUGGAACAUUAAAUAUUCCAGCAACUAUGAUGGACAAAUAAUCAUGCAACAGCAUAAUGUUUCUCGAGUAUUUUUGCUUGCAACUGGUUGAGGUUGAGUGUGUGAGUCCAACUGCAAAAAUCAAGUCAUAUCAGUAAUUAAUAUAUCCAAUGGUAGAAACACAGGUUAUAC